AGUGAACGCUGGCGGUAGGCCUAACACAUGCAAGUCGAACGGCAGCACAGGAGAGCUUGCUCUCUGGGUGGCGAGUGGCGGACGGGUGAGGAAUACAUCGGAAUCUACUUUUUCGUGGGGGAUAACGUAGGGAAACUUACGCUAAUACCGCAUACGACCUACGGGUGGAAGCAGGGGACCUUCGGUCCUUGCGCGAUUGAAUGAGCCGAUGUCGGAUUAGCUAGUUGGCGGGGUAAAGGCCCACCAAGGCGACGAUCCGUAGCUGGUCUGAGAGGAUGAUCAGCCACACUGGAACUGAGACACGGUCCAGACUCCUACGGGAGGCAGCAGUGGGGAAUAUUGGACAAUGGGCGCAAGCCUGAUCCAGCCAUACCGCGUGGGUGAAGAAGGCCUUCGGGUUGUAAAGCCCUUUUGUUGGGAAAGAAAUCCAGCUGGCUAAUACCCGGUUGGGAUGACGGUACCCAAAGAAUAAGCACCGGCUAACUUCGUGCCAGCAGCCGCGGUAA
rnacentral:rRNA from 1 species